rnacentral:rRNA from 1 species
CCUACGGGGGGCUGCAGUCGAGAAUCUUCCGCAAUGGGCGAAAGCCUGACGGAGCGACGCCGCGUGGUGGAUGAAGUCCUUAGGGACGUAAACACCUUUUAUGAGGGAGGAAAUUUUGACGUUACCUCAUGAAUAAGGGGCUCCCAACUCUGUGCCAGCAGGAGCGGUAAUACAGAGGCCCCGAGCAUUAUCCGGAUUUACUGGGCGUAAAGGGUGUGUAGGUGGCAUAGUUAGUCUCUUGUUAAAACUCAGGGCUCAACCCUGAGCACGCGAGGGAAACGGCUAAGCUUUAGAGGAUGCGAGAGGUAUAGGGAACUCAUGGUGUAGGGGUGAAAUCCGUUGAUAUCAUGGGGAACACCAAAUGCGAAGGCACUAUACUGGCGCACUCCUGACACUGAAACACGAAAGCGUGGGUAGCGAACGGGAUUAGAUACCCUUGU